UUCCCAGGCACUGAAGGGCAUGCAUUUUACAGACAGUGAGUGCAACGUUUUUAUUAUUCCUCCCAUCUACGGCACAUACAUCAAGUGAUGCCCUAUAAAAGAAACAAAUACAUUCGGCAAACGAGGAUUUUAUUUUAUUUUUCUAAUGCCUACUGGUUCAUGAGAGUGAUGAUUAUUGGCACUCUACCUUAUCCCUUUAAAAACUAUAAAAGAAGGCAUGCAGCAAAGUGCACUUUCCAUCUACAAAUAACAAGUCUGAACUGAAUGGUGACCAGCCCUGCAGUUGAAAGAAGGAAGACCAUACCCGCACUCAUAAGGCAUUCUGCAAGAGCAUUUCCCAUCCUCAAAUUUUUCCCACGGUUGGCACUGACUUCCAAGUGAUUGGGCGGUUGUUGGCGUGGCUGAGAAAAAAGUAAAUGCAUGUAUGUUAUCUAUCCAAUAAAGCUUUUUCUUACAUUAUAUUUUAUAGGACUUUUUUGUCCAACAACAGCUGCCACCAUAAUCAACAAGAGAUGGAGGACAGAAAGCUGGACCUCUGCUAUUAAUCAACCUGUAACUGAACUGCUUAGCAUAAACUGCCGAUUGCCGGAUCAGUCCUAAUGUCAUGUGCCUCUGAUGCCGCUGCUUUUCACUAGUCAACAGAGUAACAAAAAUGUCAAGAGCUCUCAGAAUCCCAUUAAUCCCAUAAUGUAUAAUAAACCUUACAAUUCUAAAGUCUGCAGGCUGCAAAAAUAAUUGUACAUUUGUAUUAACGUGAAUUUGAUGGAGACAAUAAAGAUGGAGCGGCCUGACAUUUCA